GCUGCUGAGACGAUGAUGCUACCCCUGGCAGCAGAAGGCGCUACCACGUAUGAGUGCUUGCUGUGCGCCAGGCACUGUUCAAUGCUUCUGAAUGUUAACUCUUCCAAUCCGUACAACUUAAUGAAGUAGGCUGUGUUCUUGCUUUUCAGAUGAGAAAACAGAGGCACAGAGCUGGGGAGUAGGUUGCCCAAGGUUUCACAGCUAGUAGCUGGGGUUUGAAGCUAUCCUGUGCAGUACUGCCUGUUCUCUGGUCCCCUCCUGUAUGACCUGCCUCUGCAGCCACACGUGGGGCAGAGGGAAGACAUGCAGGCUGGGUGCAUCCUCCGGAGGCUCCUGGGCUAGCAGGAAGGGAGGAAGGAGCAGGGUGUCAUGUGAUACCAUCUGGUGGGCAGGUGGCCUGACCAGGCAGAAGGGAGACAGGCAGGGGGCUCAUUGCCACCAUUAUCCCUGAGUGGCAUGUUAUGAGCACUUUACAGGCUGCGUACUCGGCAUCCUCACAACACCGGGUAUCAGUGAGGAGGGAGGUGAGGCUCCCUGCUUGGGGCUGCCUGCCGUGAAGGCAGCUUCUUGGGAGGCCGGAUCUGGGCCAGGCAGGGUGUGGGGGGCUGGGUCCUUGGCCGUCCCCACCAAGAGAGGGCAAGUGGCAGCUGUGCAGUGGGUCACCCCCGUCCUGCAGGAGCUGGCUUGGAGAUGCCCCUGGGCUUGUCUUGCUGCUUUCAUGGAGCAGAGCGGUCCGUGUGGGUGAGGGUGGGCGAGGCCCAGGCCGAGUUGGGUUGGCCCCUGCCUGGCUGUGUGGUCAUGGGUGGUUUCUUACCCUCUCCUUGCCUCUUCAUCUGUGCAGUGGGGAAGAGUGUCUGCAUCAUGGGGCUACUUUGGGGGUUAGCGAUAAGGCGUGUGGGAUUCCUAGAACUCCGCCUCCUGUACAGCAGGUGCUCAGUCAGUGGCAGCCACUGUUCCAGGACAUUCCAGAGAAAGCACGUCUCAGUGCGGGCUUUUUGCUUUUUCUUCUGUCCCUGCAAGUUCACAUACUGUGCUAGCUCUGGGCGGACCCCACUCUGAGGAUUCCCAUUCUGCUCUUGUUCCACAUUCUUGGUUCUUUUCUAUGGUUCAGGCUCCAGGGUGAGGGCACCUCUGCUGAGAAGCCCUCCAGACUUUCCCCUGAGCCUGGGGUCCCUGCAGGGCCAGAUGUCUGUCCCAUGGUGGGGUCCAGCCUUGGCCGUCUGGCGUUUGCUUUCAGGGCCCAGAGCACUCAUCAGCGAGGCCCGAGAGGUUCCUGCAGAUGAGUAAUGACGACUCGGAUGCCUACCCUGUGAGUGUUGCUGUUGUCCCCAGGACAGGGACGCGCCCUAUUGUGCCCACAGGGCUAGGGGUCCAGGGUGUGGGUGCAGCAGACAGCCACCCUGGCCAUAUGCAUCUCGUCCCCACAGGCAUUCACCAAGGACUUCGAGGUGAGCCAGCUCUAUGACUGCAACUGGAUCGUGGUCAACUGCUCCACACCGGCCAACUACUUCCACGUGCUGCGCCGGCAGAUCCUGCUGCCCUUCCGCAAGCCGCUGAUUAUCUUCACACCUAAAUCUCUGCUGAGGCACCCAGAGGCCAAGUCCAGCUUUGACCAAAUGGUAUCCGGGACCAGCUUCCAGCGGGUGAUUCCUGAAGAUGGGACCGCAGCACGGGCCCCUGAGCAGGUGCGGCGGCUCAUCUUCUGCACAGGAAAGGUGUACUAUGACCUGGUGAAGGAGCGGAGCAGCCAGGGCCUGGAGGAGAAAGUGGCCAUCACGCGCCUGGAGCAGAUCUCUCCAUUCCCCUUCGACCUGAUCAAGCAGGAGGCAGAGAAGUACCCAGGUGCGGAGCUGGUCUGGUGUCAGGAGGAGCACAAGAACAUGGGCUACUAUGACUACAUCAGCCCACGCUUCAUGACCAUCCUGAGGCGCGCACGGCCCAUAUGGUAUGUUGGCCGGGACCCAGCGGCUGCACCAGCCACAGGAAACAGGAACACUCACCUGGUGUCACUGAAAAAGUUUCUGGAUACUGCCUUCAAUCUCCAGGCCUUUGAGGGCAAGACAUUUUAGAGCUGGGCAAGACCUGUGUAGGUCUCGCUGUGGGUUGGCUGGGGACCAAGGGGGUGAUGAAAAGGGGAGGGGCGGAGCUCCUGCCCAGGAGAGGGGCUGUAGGGCCCCAGGAUAAAACAGACUCACACAGUGACAGGGCCAAGAGCCAGCACUGCUGGCCUUGGUGUCAUGCCAGAAUCUACCAGGACUGAGGGAGCCAGAGGAGUCCUAUAGGCAGGCUACUGUGCUGGAGCAUCCCCCAGCUGCUCCCAUCUUGCUGGAAUUUCUUGGGCGGCUUCUCCACCUCUAUCUCAAGACAGACACCCGGGGGCCUGUGUCUGUGGCCGCUCCCAUCCUGGCAGCCCUGGCCGCUGCUCGCCUCACCCUCGCUUAUCUGUAGAUUCAAAGCGAUGUUCUCUUCUGUGCUCUUAGAAGUAGGGAGUUCAGCAGUAACAGCCAGGUGAAGUGAACCUGCUGGGUGAUGUGUUUGCGCUCUGUUUUAUGGGGCAUUCCUGCGAGAUGUGUCAGCUUCUGUGUGAAAUGCAGCCACAGCUCAUGUGUACCAAAGUAGAAAACCAAAUCACAGAGAAAUAAAAACAUGCUUCAG
rnacentral:sRNA from 1 species